rnacentral:lncRNA from 1 species
GUAUCCAAAUGGAACAUUAGCCAUGGAUGCGAGGGUAAGAGAAGGGGAUGUGUUUUGGGUACCAAGGUACUUGGCAUUCUGUCAAAUAGCAUCACGAUCAAGCCCUUUCGAGUUCUUUGGGUUCACAACAACAUCAGACAAGAACCGGCCUCAGUUCCUAGUGGGUGCAAACUCCCUGCUGCACACCUUCAACACCCCAGAGCUGGCGGCUGCAUUUGGUGUGACGGAGGAGAGGAUGAGGCGUUUCAUCAAUGCACAAAAGGAAGCAGUUAUCCUGCCAUCAGCAUCAGCAGCACCGCCUGACGAGGAUUUGAAGGAGAGGGAAGAGAAAUCUGA